rnacentral:rRNA from 1 species
UACGGGGGGGGCAAGCGUUGUUCGGAAUUACUGGGCGUAAAGGGCUCGUAGGCGGCCAACUAAGUCGGACGUGAAAUCCCUCGGCUUAACCGGGGAACUGCGUCUGAUACUGGAUGGCUUGAGUCCGGGAGAGGGAUGCGGAAUUCCAGGUGUAGCGGUGAAAUGCGUAGAGAUCGGGAGGAACACCGGUGGCGAAGGCGGCAUCCUGGACCGGAAUUGACGCUGAGGAGCGAAAGCCAGGGGAGCAAACGGG